GGGCGACUCCCCACCAUCGAAGCAGCUAAAGCCACUCGCAGGGCCAGCGAUCCAGUAGCUGGAAGGUUCUGUGGUAAAUGGCUUGUCCAGGGAACUGGGCUGGUCUGGUCUGCCCUCACUCCAAUGGAGAAGAAGAGCUUCCUCCUGAGCUUGAAGUAACGCUGCAGCUCCCGACAAACCACCUAGCGCCUAGAAAGCGACCUUUAUCUCCAUCCCAAAGGACCGCUCCGACAACAAACCACGUUCAACGGCAAAGAAGCAAAACAGGGGUGAAUGCUGGUGUGUUUUUCCACCAGGGGUAUCUGGCCUCAUCAACAACCACAUUACAGUAACACCUUGGAGUAUUAUUCCUGCACAGAACCGAUAUUGUCUGUACUGUGAUCUUUUGCACAUCCUGCUCAGGAGUUCUGUAGAACUGUUGUAUAAAAGCAAUAUCAUGCUC